CUUCAAAAGACUGCACAUAUGGAGAGAAAGCAUCAAGGAAAUUCCGAUAGUGCCACUGAGAACUGUAUAAACGAAAACUCCAGCCAGAAUUUGCAGCAUAAAAAUCAUCUCGUAGUAUGGGCUAACUAAUUCGUUAAAAAAGGAACAUGACCAAAAUGCACGGAACAACGAUACACAUUUGCAAGGAAAUGGAGAAAGAUAUUAUAAACCAUUUUUGUAUCUUCGAGCUCAAAGAAGAUUCGAUAAGAAUUGGCCAAGCACCGAUUAUUUUCAAGAACGGUUGCGCGUAGAACGCUUGCUUCAAAUCUUUUUCCUUCGUUUCCAUUAUUUCUUCCCGAUGAUUGAGAGUUGAUGAGAUUGAAAUUGAACAUCAACAUACAAAUCCAGGUUGUGCCAUUUGCAAAACGUUUCCAUUCUUCUAUCGGUAAUCUUAAAUCGGUAAUCUAGGCCACAGCAUCAUCAAAUUGAGAAAGGUGAUCAAAUUAUGAGAUUGAAAUAAAAUGAUCAUGCAAAUCCGGAUUAUCCCACUUGCAAAGCGAUCUUUCUAUUGGUAUAACUUCGAACAGACCGCAGCAGUGCAUCGUUAUAGAGGCAAUCGAGCUGAACACGUCCAAAAUGCAUGGAGCCACGAUACAUAUUUGCAAGAAAAGAUAGAAAGAAAUUAUGAACCAUUUUUGUAUUUUUGAGCCCAAAGAAGAUUCGAUAGCGAUUGGCCAAGCACCGAUUAUCUUCAGGAACGUUUAUGAGACUGAAUAAUGUCAGCGAUGCGGCCACGCAAAUCUCGGUUUUUUAAAAUCGUCUCGAUCCUUCUGUUGGUGACCUCGAACAGACCGCAGCAGUGCAUCGUUAUAGAGGCGAUCAAGCUGUAGAUCCCAUAAUUCAAAGACAUUAUUAGGAAACUGGUGAACAUUUGCACGACGAAAGUUAUCUCGUAAGUUGGCGAGUCUUCGAUGACAAAGAAAACGUAAUCGCUCAAGUAUGGCAAAGGUAUCUGAGUACUGUUGUCCG